AGGUUCAAGGACGUUAUGAGCCGAAAGCGUCUGUGGAGUAGGGUUUAAAUAGUAUUUGUGUUGCAGAGCUCUCCUGCUCGUGUAAUAUUGACUUAAAAGUGGAGCACAAACUGAGCGAGACCUCGCAGACAUUACAGUAUCAGUGGAAGGAACUGAACUGAUCGUUUUCAUUUUGAAUCAGCAGUUUGUCUGGACGAUAAAGGUUAUGUUCACACUGCAGAUUAAUGACGCAGAAACUGGAUUUCAGGCUAAAAUGCAAAACACAAGUGCAGCAGGACAGCGAGGAUUCAUGGAAGAAAUUGGUUUUAUAAUGAGGAGAACAAGAAGCUACUCUCUGACAUAACGCCGGGAGUGAGAUGAGCAAACACUGGGCUGCUAACAAGAGCCUGAGGGCUCAGUUAGAUGAAAGAGAUCAGACGCUGAAGGAGCUGCACCAGAGGGUUGGUGUUUUAGAGAGGGAUGUGACGAUGAAGAGGCAGCUGGUGGAGGAUCUCAGAUGCAGACUAUAGAUCUGCCAGAACACUGAGACGAGCCACAGAUCAGCG